GGAGCCUGCGUAGCCGGCGGUCGUCCCCGCGAAACUGCUGCCGCCUCAGUCAGCUGACAACCGCCGCACCCCGCCCCGGUCCCUAGGACUCCUGGUUUCUGUGUGGGAAGGUAGAACUUGGAGGGUCCUCACUGUCAGCCUUAAAAUAAACAAAUGAUCAGAAGCAAGGCUGAGGAACUACAAGUUAUUGACAUUCGUUGAAUUGCCUGGGACCGAGGCCUCAGGGCAAUCAGCAGCCCCAAAUGCCCAGAGAGAUAGUUGGAGGCUACAAACUCCUACCAGCAGCAAGACUCCUGAGACCAGCAGGCAGACCAGCCACCUGUCACCUGUCACACGAUCUGACCUGUCCUGGAGAAACGCCCAACCUCUGGCACACUGGGGCUGAUCAUAACACAACAAACCUCACAUCUAGCCUGACUCCCGACUAAACUAACUGCAGC